GACGCACUGUGCGAACGUUAUUCGGAAUCACUGGGCUUACAGGGUGCGUAGGCGGCUUGUUAAGUAGGGUGUGAAAUCCCCCGGCCCAACCGGGGAAUGGCGCUCUAAACUAGCAGGCUUGAGUGAGCUAGGGGGGCACGGAACUUCCAGUGGAGCGGUGAAAUGUGUUGAUAUUGGAAGGAACACCAGAGGCGAAAGCGGUGCACUGGGGCUUAACUGACGCUGAGGCACGAAAGCCAGGGGAGCGAACGGG
rnacentral:rRNA from 1 species